UGAACUGGGAAUGAAGAGUUGAGGACC
rnacentral:piRNA from 1 species